GACGAACGCUGGCGGCGUGCCUAAUACAUGCAAGUUGAGCGCUGAAGGUUGGUACUUGUACCAACUGGAUGAGCAGCUAACGGGUGAGUAACGCGUGGGGAAUCUGCCUUUGAGCGGGGGACAACAUUUGGAAGCGAAUGCUAAUACCGCAUAAAAACUUUAAACACAAGUUUUAAGUUUGAAAGAUGCCAUUGCAUCACUCAAAGAUGAUCCCGCGUUGUAUUAGCUAGUUGGUGAGGUAAAGGCUCACCAAGGCGAUGAUACAUAGCCGACCUGAGAGGGUGAUCGGCCACAUUGGGACUGAGACACGGCCCAAACUCCUACGGGAGGCAGCAGUAGGGAAUCUUCGGCAAUGGACGAAAGUCUGACCGAGCAAAGCCGCGUGAGGGAAGAAGGUUGUCGGAUCGUAAAACUCUGUUGGUAGAGAAGAACGUUGGUGAGAGUGGAAAGCUCAUCAAGUGACGGUAACUACACAGAAAGGGACGGCUAACUACGUG
rnacentral:rRNA from 1 species